GACGAACGCUGGCGGCGUGCCUAACACAUGCAAGUCGAACGGAAAGGCUCCAGCUUGCUGGAGUACUCGAGUGGCGAACGGGUGAGUAACACGUGGGUAAUCUGCCCUGCACUCUGGGAUAAGCCUGGGAAACUGGGUCUAAUACUGGAUAUGACCUUUCUCCUUAUGGGGUUUGGUGGAAAGUUUUUCGGUGUAGGGUGAGCCCGCGGCCUAUCAGCUUGUUGGUGGGGUGAUGGCCUACCAAGGCGACGACGGGUAGCCGGCCUGAGAGGGUGAUCGGCCACAUUGGGACUGAGAUACGGCCCAGACUCCUACGGGAGGCAGCAGUGGGGAAUAUUGCACAAUGGGCGGAAGCCUGAUGCAGCGACGCCGCGUGAGGGAUGACGGCCUUCGGGUUGUAAACCUCUUUCAGCAGGGACGAAGCGUAAGUGACGGUACCUGCAGAAGAAGCACCGGCUAACUAUGUG
rnacentral:rRNA from 1 species